rnacentral:lncRNA from 1 species
CCUUUCUUUGCUUUAUGUAAAAUAGAACUGAAUUGUUGUAAUUCAAAAUUCCUUAGGGUUGCAAGACCAACAAUAAACAAAGAAUAACAGCUACUGCCAUGAAAAUCAAUGUGUUGUCUAGAAAAAUAAACAGUCAAGAAGUGAACAUCUUUUUCUGUGCCCUGUGAAUUUUCCUUGGCAUGAGUUGAUCCUUUGUCAACAAUCUUUGUUUCCUAUUUGAUAUGAAUGUGCAGUGCAGUGGCCCUUAUUCAAGUAUUGAUGAAAGCAUCAAGAGACAUCAAGAAGCUUAAAGAUUUGAUGAAGACUGGAAACAAGUGACCGGGAAAUGAAAGUGACACAACAUUGUCAACCAUUAACCUAAAGACCUGAGUCUUCUAAAAUGGGGACCACAGGUGGCAUCUACUGUGGCCCAGACAUGCAUAUUACUGGAAGAUGUCUGCUAUUUUUAUAGCUGUGGCUUAGGGCUUUCACAUACUGCUAAUGAGAUGAAGCACUAUGCUUUUAGUUUCUGUAGUGAUUUUCAUAGCCAGUCGUGCAGGAAGACAUCAGUCAACAGUCAUUGCAGAUUUUGAAUUUGUUAAAGAAUCCAUCAGAACAAGCUGUGUAGGGAAACACAAGAGAUUGAGACAGAUGAAAAUAAAGGUAGAAGGAAAUCUGCACUUAACCUGUAAGAAAAGACCUGAUGAUUAUCUCUCACAGAAGGCAGAGACUCUCUCAAAUUCAUGUAUAUAUGUGGGUAAGAGAAUGCAUGGAGGGUAGGAUAUGGUCAUCAGUAAUUCAAAUUUAUUUCCUAAAGGAACCUGGUAGUAUGCUAUAGAGUCCAAGGAAUCUGCCAAGGCCAUUUAGGAAAAUUCACUGCUCUAGCUUAAGACAAGCUGGACACAGUGCCUGUCUCAUGCAAUUUAUCUGAUCAUUUGAGUAUUUUUCUCUCUCCACUAUUGGGCUAAACAACUGGAAGAGAUUGAUCAGUAUUAUGAUGAAAU